rnacentral:tRNA from 1 species
GGUGGCUUAGCUCAGUUGGGAGAGCGCUGGAGUGCAAAAUCCAGAGGUCGCGAGUUCGAAUCUUGCAGUCACCU